ACAUGGCUCAGGACGAACGCUGGCGGCGUGCCUAAUACAUGCAAGUCGAGCGGACUAAUGGGAGCUUGCUCCCGUUAGUUAGCGGCGGACGGGUGAGUAACACGUGGGCAACCUACCUGUAAGACUGGGAUAACUUCGGGAAACCGGAGCUAAUACCGGAUGACAUAAAGGAACUCCUGUUCCUUUAUUGAAAGAUGGCUUCGGCUAUCACUUACAGAUGGGCCCGCGGCGCAUUAGCUAGUUGGUGAGGUAACGGCUCACCAAGGCGACGAUGCGUAGCCGACCUGAGAGGGUGAUCGGCCACACUGGGACUGAGACACGGCCCAGACUCCUACGGGAGGCAGCAGUAGGGAAUCUUCCGCAAUGGACGAAAGUCUGACGGAGCAACGCCGCGUGAGCGAUGAAGGCCUUCGGGUCGUAAAGCUCUGUUGUUAGGGAAGAAUAAGUGCUAGUUAAAUAAGCUGGCACCUUGACGGUACCUAACCAGAAAGCCACGGCUAACUACG
rnacentral:rRNA from 1 species